GGGAUGUAGAUCAGUGGUACAGUGCUUGCUUACUAUGCAUAAGACCCUGGGUUCAAUCCCCAGCACCACCU
rnacentral:tRNA from 1 species